rnacentral:rRNA from 1 species
CAGUCGCCGCGGUAAUACGGAGGGUGCGAGCGUUAAUCGGAAUUACUGGGCGUAAAGCGUACGCAGGCGGUUUGUUAAGUCAGAUGUGAAAUCCCCGAGCUUAACUCGGGAACUGCAUUUGAAACUGGCAGGCUAGAGUCUCGUAGAGGGGGGUAGAAUUCCAGGUGUAGCGGUGAAAUGCGUAGAGAUCUGGAGGAACAUCAGUGGCGAAGGCGGCCAUCUGGGACAACACUGACGCUGAGGCACGAAAGCGUGGGGAGCAAACAGGAUUAGAUACCCCGGUAGUCCCUGUCUCUUAUAC